UACAUGCAAGUCGAGCGAACGGACGAGAAGCUUGCUUCUCUGAUGUUAGCGGCGGACGGGUGAGUAACACGUGGAUAACCUACCUAUAAGACUGGGAUAACUUCGGGAAACCGGAGCUAAUACCGGAUAAUAUUUUGAACCGCAUGGUUCAAAAGUGAAAGACGGUCUUGCUGUCACUUAUAGAUGGAUCCGCGCUGCAUUAGCUAGUUGGUAAGGUAACGGCUUACCAAGGCAACGAUGCAUAGCCGACCUGAGAGGGUGAUCGGCCACACUGGAACUGAGACACGGUCCAGACUCCUACGGGAGGCAGCAGUAGGGAAUCUUCCGCAAUGGGCGAAAGCCUGACGGAGCAACGCCGCGUGAGUGAUGAAGGUCUUCGGAUCGUAAAACUCUGUUAUUAGGGAAGAACAUAUGUGUAGGUAACUGUGCACAUCUUGACGGUACCUAAUCAGAAAGCCACGGCUAACUACGUGCCAGCAGCCGCGGUAAUACGUAGGUGGCAAGCGUUAUCCGGAAUUAUUGGGCGUAAAGCGCGCGUAGGCAGGAUAUCAAGUCUGAUGUGAAAGCCCACGGUCAACCGUGGAGGGUCAUUGGACCUUGGAAAACUUGAGUGCAGAAGAGGCACAGUGGAAUACCCAAUGU
rnacentral:rRNA from 1 species